rnacentral:rRNA from 1 species
CCUACGGGAGGCAGCAGUGAGGAAUAUUGGUCAAUGGACGGGAGACUGAACCAGCCAAGUAGCGUGAAGGAUGACGGUCCAGAGUGUUGUAAACUUCUUUUAUAUGGGAAUAAAACCUGGUAUGCAUACCCUCUUGUAUGUACCUGAUGAAUAAGGAUCGGCUAACUCCGUGCCAGCAGCCGCGGUAAUACGGAGGAUCCGAGCGUUAUCCGGAUUUAUUGGGUUUAAAGGGAGCGUAGGUGGAUUGUUAAGUCAGUUGUGAAAGUUUGCGGCUCAACCGUAAAAUUGCAGUUGAAACUGGCAGUCUCGAGUAGGGGAGAGGUGGGCGGAAGUCGCGGUGUAGCGGUGAAAUGCUUAGAUAUCGCGAAGAACUCCGAUUGCGAAGGCAGCUCGCUGGCUUGACACUGACGCUGAGGCACGAAAGUGUGGGUAUCAAACAGGAUUAGAUACCCUGGUAGUC